AGGAUCUCAGCAGCUCCCUGUGGUUUUAAAAAUAACAGCUACUGGCUUUUCUCCAAGUGCAUUUAACUACAUUAAACCCUAAAGCCCUAUGUUCAAAGUGACAGUCUCAUGGAGUUGUGAAAAUGGUUGCUUUGGCUAUUGCUGUAACAAAAGAUUUUCUUGUUAUUGGAGGAUUCCUGCCUUAAUGUGACCAGAUUGGCUCAGUCUGGACUGAGCAAGUAGAGGUGCUGGCAUGGUGAUGUUUUCCAUAGGCCCUAGCAGCUUUUCACUCCACUGCUUGGUGGAGAUUUACAGCAAUCCUUCAUGUUGUCUGUGCCUGGGCAGUUUUCUCCGUCCUUUUUCCUAAUUGCCACCUGUGCCCCCACUUACCAGUCAUUGCCAAAAUCUAAUCCUAUGGGUAAGAAGUUCCCGUCCAUUCUACCCACAAAGCCCAGCCUUCUAUUGCUCCCCCUGCCCCUAAAUGCCUGUCUUGAACAUAUACCACUCAUUUGAAAACUUCAGACUGGCCCACUGUCCUCACUGGAAUAAAUGCCUAAUGUAUGAGUUAUGAGCUCUAAAGAAAAAUUCCAGAACUCAGAAGUAAAUGGUAGAAUCAUUUAUGAUUCAAGCUCUGGAGUUGGGAACUGGGAACCCUUCCAUCCCAGAGUCUCAGCGGAACUCUGAGAAGAUUCAACCUGGCUGUGUUUUCCACACCUCUCCCUUUCUUGUCAUGUGGGUCCUCCUACAGCCUGCUUCAAAAAACCUUACAACUUGGUAGCAGUUUCCCCAACACAGCUGGUUUAAGAGAAAGACUUUGAGAGAAGGGAAGAGGAGAAAAGCCACAAACAUUUCAACCCUAUCUUCAGAAGUGACGUUACGUUAUCUGUGGUACAUGCUACUGGUCAAAAGCCACCCUGGUUGCAGGAGUGGAUAAUCUUCAGGAAGUGGCCCCUUGUUGGAAAGAAAGAGAAAAUGGAUACUGUUAGAACACCAACAACUACUGCAGAGGAAGAUGCUACAUUGAUCUCCACAGUGUUGACUCCCAAGCUUCUAGUUCCUACCUUGGACAUGGAGAACUACAGUUUUUGCAUCAGUUCCCUGGCCACCCAGAAGCUAGGAAGAAAUGGAAGAUUGCUCAAGCCGGGAGGAGUGCCUAGCCUUUCUUCUUGUUGCUUGUGCUCACCCCAUUGGUAAGGAAUCUUACCAAUGUGGAUAACUGGUAGAAUUGGAGUCCUCAGGUGGAACCAGGGAUCUAGAAUUCACUCUGGAUAUACUCCCUCUCCAAGCCUUGAGAGACUAAAGGCUGUAAGAAGCAGUGCACUUUGCAGGACCCACUCUGCCCUGAUAGCAUCCCCUAUCAUGUGUCACCAAAGGGCUUUCAGCCACAGUCUCCACUUCCCUCAAGUCCCUCUUCUCCCUCAUAUUGCCUACAUCCUUAACUGUCAGUCUUGUCUUUCUAGUUCCCUCCAUCUUGAGCAAAGGCAGCCUCAGUGAUGACCCACCCAGGGAAACCCUUAGAAGACAAAAUAAAACCUAAUAAAGCCUUGUCUCCUCC